CUUCAACGAGCCGAGCCACAGAGGCUGUUCGGCGUCCCGGCCCUGGCCGUAGGUGGCGAUGAGGGCCUGCGCCUC
rfam:Streptomyces sp. Root431 contig_3, whole genome shotgun sequence.